rnacentral:tRNA from 1 species
CACAACGUAGCUUAAUUCAAAAGCACCUUGCUUACACCAAGAAGAUAUCUGUUAAAACCAGAUCGUUAUGA